rnacentral:rRNA from 1 species
AGGGAAUAUUGCAAAAUGGGCGAAAGCCCGAUGCAGCAACGCCGCGUGGGCGAUGAAGGCCUUCGGGUCGUAAAGCCCUUUUUGAGGGGAUGAGGAAGGACAGUACCCUCAGAAUAAGCCUCGGCUAACUACGUGCCAGCAGCCGCGGUAAAACGUAGGAGGCGAGCGUUAUCCGGAUUUACUGGGCGUAAAGCGCGUGCAGGCGGAUUGGAGAGUUGGAUGUGAAAGCUCCCGGCUUAACUGGGAGAGGUCGUUCAAUACUUCCAGUCUGGAGUGCAGUAGAGGGAAGUGGAAUUCCGGGUGUAGUGGUGAAAUGCGUAGAUAUCCGGAGGAACACCAGUGGCGAAAGCGGCUUCCUGGACUGUAACUGACGCUCAGACGCGAAAGCUAGGGUAGCAAACG